rnacentral:rRNA from 1 species
UUAAAGAAUUUCGGUCAUCGAUGGGGAUGCGUUCCCAUUAGGUAGUAGGCGGGGUAACGGCCACCUAGCCAACGAUGGAUAGGGGUUCUGAGAGGAAGGUCCCCCACAUUGGAACUGAGACACGGUCCAAACUCCUACGGGGAGGCAGCAGUGAGGAAUAUUGGUCAAUGGACGAGAGGUCUGAACCAGCCAAGUAGCGUGAAGGAUGAAGGUCCUACGGAUUGUAAACUUCUUUUAUAAGGGAAUAAACCCUCCCACGUGUGGGAGCUUGUAUGUACCUUAUGAAUAAGCAUCGGCUAACUCCGUGC